AAGUCAUAACAAGGUUUCCGUAGGUGAACCUGCGGAAGGAUCAUUAAUAGUGCCUCUGAUGCAAAUCAUUGGGUUAGAUCUGCUCUCUUCGCAAGAAGAGGGUUUCCAUACACACCGUGAACUGUGGCUUUGGCCAUCACAAACUGUUAGUAAUGAAUGUAAUAUCAUAACAAAACAAAA
rnacentral:misc_RNA from 1 species